GACGGAAGGUGCAAGCGUUGCUCGGAAUCACUGGGCGUAAAGGGUGCGUAGGCGGAUUAGUAAGUCAGUGGUGAAAGCCCGUCGCUUAACGGCGGAACUGCCAUUGAUACUGCUAGUCUUGAGUAUGGUUGAGGUGGGCGGAAUGUGUUAUGUAGCGGUGAAAUGCUUAGAUAUGACCCAGAACACCAAUUGCGAAGGCAGCUCGCUAAGCCAUAACUGACGCUGAGGCACGAAAGCGUGGGGAGCAAACAGG
rnacentral:rRNA from 1 species